rnacentral:tRNA from 1 species
GAGUAAAUAGCUAAUAUAUAAGUUUAUUAUUUACAUUAAUAGGAUACUGAGAGGUUUUACUUU